rnacentral:rRNA from 1 species
CAUCGCCACGGUAAAACGUAGGUGGCAAGCGUUGUCCGGAAUUAUCGGGCGUAAAGGGCUCGCAGGCGGUUUCUUAAGUCUGAUGUGAAAGCCCCCGGCUCAACCGGGGAGGGUCAUUGGAAACUGGGAAACUUGAGUGCAGAAGAGGAGAGUGGAAUUCCACGUGUAGCGGUGAGAUGCGUAGAGAUGUGGAGGAACACCAGUGGCGAAGGCGACUCUCUGGUCUGUAACUGACGCUGAGGAGCGAAAGCGUGGGGAGCGAACAGGAUUAGAGACCCCGGUAGUCCCUGUCUCUUAUACA